rnacentral:misc_RNA from 1 species
UCUCCGUUGGUGAACCAGCGGAGGGAUCAUUACCGAGUUUACAACUCCCAAACCCUAUGUGAACCUUACCUUUUGUUGCUUCCGCGGGAUCGCCCUGGCGCUUCACGGCGCCGCAACUCAGCGCCCGCCGGAGGCCCAAAACUCUUGUUUAUUUAUGUUUCCUCACCGAGUGGCACAAGCAAAAUAAAUCAAAACUUUCAACAACGGAUCUCUUGGUUCCG